rnacentral:rRNA from 1 species
GUGGGGAAUAUUGGACAAUGGGCGCAAGCCUGAUCCAGCCAUGCCGCGUGAGUGAUGAAGGCCUUAGGGUUGUAAAGCUCUUUCAGUGGGGACGAUAAUGACGGUACCCACAGAAGAGGCCCCGGCUAACUUCGUGCCAGCAGCCGCGGUAAUACGAAGGGGGCUAGCGUUGUUCGGAUUUACUGGGCGUAAAGCGCACGUAGGCGGAUCGUUAAGUCGGGGGUGAAAUCCUGGAGCUCAACUCCAGAACUGCCUUCGAUACUGGCGAUCUUGAGUCCGGAAGAGGUGAGUGGAACUCCUAGUGUAGAGGUGGAAUUCGUAGAUAUUAGGAAGAACACCAGUGGCGAAGGCGGCUCACUGGUCCGGUACUGACGCUGAGGUGCGAAAGCGUGGGGAGCAAACAGGAUUAGAAACCCUAGUAGUCC